rnacentral:rRNA from 1 species
GGUAUUUUGACCGUGCAAAGGUAGCAUAAUCAUUAGUUUCUUAAUUGAAAGCUGGAAUGAAAGGUUGGAUGAAAAAUAAGCUGUCUCUAUUUAAAUUCCUUAGAAUUUUAUUUUUAAGUUAAAAAGCUUAAAUUUUAAUAGAAGACGAGAAGACCCUAUAGAGUUUUAUUUGUUUAAUAAAUAAAAAUAAUAGUAUUAAUAAUUUUUAUUUAUUAAAUAAAUUUAGUUGGGGUGAUUGAAAAAUUUAAUUAACUUUUUUUGUAUGUAUACAUUAAUUUAUGAUUGGUUGAUCCUUAGUUUAAGAUUAAAAGAUAAAAUUACCUUAGGGAUAACAGCGUAAUUUUUUUUGAGAGUUCUAAUCGAAAGAAAAGAUUGCGACCUCGAUGUUGGAUUAAAAUAAAAUUUUGGUGUAGAAGCUAAAC